GACGAACGCUGGCGGCGUGCUUAACACAUGCAAGUCGAACGGAAAGGCCCUGCUUUUGUGGGGUUGUCGAGUGGGGAACGCGGGAGUAACACGUGAGUAUCCUGCCCUUGACUUUGGGAGAUCUUCAGGAAACUGGGGCUAAUACCGCGUAGGAGCUCCUGCUGCAUGGGGGUGGUUGGAAAGUGUCGGCGGUGGGGGCUGGACUCGCGGGUUAUGCGCUGGUUUGUCUGGUAGUUGCGUACGAAGGCUAUGACGGAUAGGCGGCCUGAGAGGGUUGCCGGGCACAUUGGGCCUGAGCUAGGGCGCAGUCGGCUACGGGAGGCAGCAGUGGGGAAUAUUGCGCAGUGGGCGGAAGCCUGAGGCAGAGACGCCGCGUGCGGGAUGACGGGCUUCGGGUUGUGAACCGAUUUCGCCUGUGCCGAAGCGUGAGUGACGGUAAUGGGUAAAGAAGCACCGGCUAACUACGUG
rnacentral:rRNA from 1 species